rnacentral:lncRNA from 1 species
AUGUCAGGAACGUGUGAGAACUCCCCCAGACGGUCUUUCGGAGUCACCCUGCCCUCCCAGACAAUUUUGGUGCUGGCUGCCUCCAGGAACCUGACUCUCUCAGUCUCUUACUAUUUCACUCCGUGGGUCAAGUCUAUGCAAAGCCUUCACGCUGAGCCUUGCCUUGCAGGCAGCCUUUGUGAGGCAGUCAUCAUGGCUCAGCUAACUGCAGCAGGAAGAGACAAACAUGGAGCUAAAAGCACAGCAGCUGGGAUUCCAGGAAAGCGGGAAGUUCUGCAGUUAGCAUCAGCAUUCGCCACCCAGGCAAUAGUCCUUUGAAAGGCAGCUUGUGAAUCCCAACAACCAGGGAGCGUGCCGCUUUCCUCCCCACCUGCCCCCUUGCGUCAUGGUGUCCGAUGGUGGAGCAGAGGGCUUUCUGUGAGUGUACUUAAAUACCUUCAGAGCCAGUUUUAGACUUUUCAUUCCAUAGACCAGAAAAUUGCUGAAAUUAGUAGACAUUUGAAGUGGCUCUUCCUCAAGCCCAGAAAAGAUUUCUGCUGUUGCUAUGUUUAAAAGCCCAGCAGCAAGUUGUUUUGGCUUAUGUCUUAUUGUUAUAUAAUAAACAUGAUAAGCUCUGUGAGCUCUGAACACUGGUUGCAAGGAUGAAAAUCGAGGCCUCACAAUAAUAUGUGCCCUGGAGAUGCUUUGUAGAGGGCGGGGGGAAGAUAAUAGUUUUCUGUGAGUGUUCAAAUAACAAUGUGUGUAGUAGAUUCAAAAUUGCUAUGUAAAUUCCCAAAGGAAACAGUAGAGGAAAAAAGAAGGCGGUUAUGGAUUAAAAUGAAGAGGUUAUAUAUUAAUGUGAGGGAAAAAUGUAAUCAACAACCAAAUGAGAGCUAGUUUUAAUAAGACAGUGGACCCAGGAGAGGUGGACUGAUCCAUUGUAGAAAGCAGAUAAGCUUUCUAUGCUAUGUAACAAAUUACUAUAAACCUAGCCGCUUAAUGAAACACAAAUUUGUGAUCACCUAAGAGCUCAGAGCAGCCCCCAGUGACAGCCAGCAAGAAAGUGAGGCAAAAGUGCAGGUGUGGUGUGGCUGGGUUCUCUGCAUAGAGUCUCAUGAGGUUGGCAUCAAGAAUUUGGUUGCUUGUGGUUGUAGGACUGAGUUGACCACCUCCUGCUGGCUGUUACUGGGGACUGCUCAGCUCCUGGAGGCCUCUCCCAUUUUCUCAUCCUGUAGCCCUCUUACAAUGUAGCUACUGGCUCCUUGAAGAAAAAUUCCUCUCAUGCCUCCAAUCUCUCUUCUUUGAUCUCUAACCUCUACACCUUCUUUUAAAGAGUUCACCUGAUUAGGUCAGGCCCACCCACUCAAGGGAUGGGAUUACACAGGUUAUACACACUGGGUGAGGGAAUCUUGGGGGCCACUUUAGAAUUCUAUUACAGUGAUCAAACUUUUGUGCCAAAGCAGGGAUCCAAAAUGUGUAAUUUUAAUGCACUACAUUAUGGGCUGAGUGUUUGUGCCUUGCCUCACCCCAAUUCAUUUGUUGAAGUUCUAACUCCCAGUGUAAUGGUAUUCGGAGGUGGGCCCUUUGUGAAGUAAUUUGGUUUACAUGAGGUCAUGAGGGUGGGCUCCCAUGAUGAGAUUAGUGUCUUAUAAGAAAAGGAAUAGAGACCACCUACUCUCUCUCUCUCUUUCUCUCUGUCAUAUGAGGAACACAGUGAGAAGGCAAUCAUCUAUAAAGCAGGAAGAGAGCCUUCCCCAGGAGCUGAAUCUGCCAACAUCUUGAUCUUGGACUUCCCAGCCUCCAGAAUCUUCAGAGAGAAAUGCCUGUUGUCUGAGCCACCGUAUGUUACCCUGUUACAGCAGCCUGAGCUAAGAUGAUAUGGAGGCCCAGUUAAUCUACCUCAACAUGAACCUUUCGUAACACAGGCUGGACAAAGGCUGUGAAAACGCUCAGUAUCUAGAGUUUUCCACUGUGUGUGUCCUUCCCUGUACACUUUAUUUGCUUAUGCCCUUAUUCAUUCAACAAAGGAGCUCCUUUACUUUUCUUCUCUUUUUUUCUUUUUUUUUUUUUUUUCUUGAGACAGGGUUUCACCAUGUUAGCCAGGUUGAGCUUGAACUCCUGACCUCAAGCAAUCCACCUGCCAAGGCCUCCCAAAGUGCUGGGAUUACAGACGUGAGCCACUGUGUCUGGCCAAGGAGCUCCUAUUGUCCUCUCUGCACUGUGCUUGACCCCAGGGCCAGGAUUAGGCUGGGGCCAAUGAGGCAUUGAGCGGACAAAGUUUAAGGAGAAACUCAUUUGCACAAUCCUGAGAGUGAGUGCCACCUGGCAUUGCCUGCCCUCAACCCCCUCCUGGCCCUUCCAGGCACAGAGGAAACAAAGAUUUUAAGCCACUUUCUUCCUCAAGACACCUACAGGUUAAGAAAGAGGUCAGAAACAGGGCAUACCACACUGGCCUUUGGAACUUCAAUUGCUCACUUCACAAGAGCACAAAGUGUCCUACAGAGCAGCUGAGUAUAACAGGAAAGCCAUGCCUCAAC